rnacentral:precursor_RNA from 10 species
UAUGUAUAUUAUAUACAGUACACCGUGGUUGUCACCGUCAUAUCCACAGUCUUGUUGUUGUUAUUGCAGUGUGUGGAUAAACGGAAAUGACUCUUGUGUGCAUUACCCUUAAACGGCAGU